rnacentral:rRNA from 1 species
AUUGAACGCUGGCGGCAGGCUUAACACAUGCAAGUCGAGCGAGCGGCGGACGGGUGAGUAAUGUCUGGGAAACUGCCUGAUGGAGGGGGAUAACUACUGGAACCGGUAGCUAAUACCGCAUACCAUCAGAUGUGCCCAGAUGGGAUUAGCUCGUAGGUGGGGUAAUGGCUCACCAAGGCGACGAUCCCUAGCUGGUCUGAGAGGAUGACCAGCAACUCUGAACAUGAGACACGGGCCAGACUCCUACGGGAGGCAGCAUUGGGGAACAUUGCACAUUGGGCGCAAGCCUGAUGCAGCCAUGCCGCGUGUGUGAAGAAGGCCUUCGGGUUGUAAAGCACUUUAAGCGAGGAGGCGUUACUCGCAGAAGAAGCACCGGCUAACUCCGUGCCAGCAGCCGCGGUAAUAC